CCGCUUGGACUUUUCUCUAGGUUGGGUGCUAAACUCUUCUGUGAGCUCGCUCUGUCCUCCCUUUAACUCCUCUCCAUUCCCUUAAAACCUUGCUCUGGU
rnacentral:lncRNA from 1 species